GACGAACUGUCCAAACGUUGUUCGGAAUCACUGGGCUUAAAGGGCGCGUAGGCGGUCGAAUAAGUCGGGGGUGAAAUCCUGCAGCUCAACUGUAGAAGUGCCUUCGAUACUGUUCGUCUGGAGGGAGAUAGGGGUGUGCGGAACUUCCAGUGGAGCGGUGAAAUGCGUUGAUAUUGGAAGGAACGCCGGAGGCGAAAGCGGCGCACUGGAUCUCUUCUGACGCUGAGGCGCGAAAGCUAGGGGAGCAAACGGG
rnacentral:rRNA from 1 species